GGUAAGUUCUGUCUCUGAUCACGGUGCCCCGACGCGUGCUAACAAUCGUCACAGUAGGUGAACCUGCGGAAGGAUCAUUACCGAGUUCAUGCCCCUCGGGGUAGAUCUCCCACCCUUGCUUAUUUACUCUGUUGCUUUGGCGGGUCGUCCGCUCUGCGGCCACCGGCUCCGGCUGGUGUGCGCCCGUCAGAGGUCCACACACGCUAUUUCUUGGUGUUGUCUGAGUCCCAUACAAUCAUUAAAACUUUCA
rnacentral:misc_RNA from 1 species